CGUACACUCCUGCGGGAGGCAGCAGUAGGGAAUCUUCCACAAUGGGUGCAAACCUGAUGGAGCAAUGCCGCGUGAGUGAAGAAGGUCUUCGGAUCGUAAAGCUCUGUUGUUAGAGAAGAACACGUGCUAGGUAACUACUAGCGCCUUGACGGUAUCUAACCAGAAAGUCACGGCUAACUACGUGCCAGCAGCCGCGGUAAUACGUAGGUGACAAGCGUUGUCCGGAUUUAUUGGGCGUAAAGGGAGCGCAGGCGGUCUGUUUAGUCUAAUGUGAAAGCCCACGGCUUAACCGUGGAACGGCAUUGGAAACUGACAGACUUGAAUGUAGAAGAGGAAAAUGGAAUUCCAAGUGUAGCGGUGGAAUGCGUAGAUAUUUGGAGGAACACCAGUGGCGAAGGCGAUUUUCUGGUCUAACAUUGACGCUGAGGCUCGAAAGCGUGGGGAGCGAACAGGAUUAGAAACCCUUGUAGUCCCAUG
rnacentral:rRNA from 1 species